rnacentral:rRNA from 1 species
GAUGAACGCUAGCGGCAGGCUUAAUACAUGCAAGUCGAACGGUAACAUGAGUAGCAAUACUUGAUGACGAGUGGCGCACGGGUGCGUAACGCGUAUGCAACUUACCUUCAACUGGAAGAUAGCCCCUCGAAAGAGGGAUUAAUAUUCCAUAAUUUUAUGAUUUGGCAUCAAAUUAUAAUUAAAGAUCAGUCGGUUGAAGAUAGGCAUGCGUGACAUUAGCUAGUUGGUGAGGUAAUGGCUCACCAAGGCAACGAUGUCUAGGGGAUCUGGGAGGACUAACCCCCACACUGGUACUGAGACACGGACCAGACUCCUACGGGAGGCAGCAGUAAGGAAUAUUGGUCAAUGGAGGCAACUCUGAACCAGCCAUGCCGCGUGAAGGAUGAAGGCCCUAUGGGUUGUAAACUUCUUUUAGACGGGACAAAACCCCUUUACGUGUAAAGGGUUGAUGGUACUGUCAGAAUAAGCAUCGGCUAACUUCGUGCCAGCAGCCGCGGUAAU